rnacentral:rRNA from 1 species
UACAGAGGGUGCUAGCGUUGUUCGGAAUCAUUGGGCGUAAAGGGCGUGUAGGCGGUUUGUUAAGUCAUGUGUGAAUCCCUCGGCUCAACCGGGGAACGACGCAUGAAACUGGCAGCUAGAGUACCAAAGAGGGGGGUGGAAUUCCCGGUGUAGCGGUGAAAUGCGUAGAUAAUCGGGAGGAACACCUGUGGCGAAGGCGGCCCCCUGGUUGGAUACUGACGCUGAUACGCGAAAGCGUGGGGAGCAAACAGG